rnacentral:piRNA from 1 species
CCAAUAAUGUAGCAGUUCUGCACUUU